AGAGUUUGAUCAUGGCUCAGGAUGAACGCUAGCUGGAGGCUUAAUACAUGCAAGUCGAGCGGGAUUGGGUAGCAAUACCCAUGAGAGCGGCGCACGGGUGAGUAACGCGUACACGACCUACCUUUGACUGGGGGAUAGCCCUGGGAAACUGGGAUUAAUACCGCAUAUAAUUCUCGAUAAUAAAGGUUGGGAAUGAAAGUUCAGGCGGUCAGAGAUGGGUGUGCGUCUGAUUAGCUAGUUGGUAAGGUAACGGCUUACCAAGGCGAUGAUCAGUAGGGGGCGUGAGAGCGUGAUCCCCCACACGGGUACUGAGACACGGACCCGACUCCUACGGGAGGCAGCAGUAAGGAAUAUUGGACAAUGGCCGCAAGGCUGAUCCAGCCAUCCAGCGUGCAGGAAGAAGGCCCUACGGGUUGUAAACUGCUUUUGUCAGGGAAUAAACCUGUGGAUUUACUCCGCAGCUGAAGGUACCUGAAGAAUAAGCACCGGCUAACUCCGUGCCAGCAGCCGCGGUAAUACGGAGGGUGCGAGCGUUAUCCGGAAUUACUGGGUUUAAAGGGUGCGUAGGCGGCUAUGUAAGUCAGGAGUGAAAGUUUGCGGCUCAACCGUAAAAUUGCUUUUGAUACUGCAUAGCUGGAAUCAGGAUGAGGUCAGCGGAAUGUGGCAUGUAGCGGUGAAAUGCAUAGAUAUGCCAUAGAACACCAAUUGCGAAGGCAGCUGGCUAGACCUGUAUUGACGCUGAGGCACGAAAGCGUGGGGAGCGAACAGGAUUAGAUACCCUAGUAGUCC
rnacentral:rRNA from 1 species